UAAUACGAAGGGUGCUAGCGUUGUUCGGAAUCACUGGGCGUAAAGCGCGCGUAGGCGGCUCGUCAAGUCAGAGGUGAAAGCCUGGGGCUCAACCCCAGAAUUGCCUUUGAAACUAGCAAGCUAGAGUGUCGGAGGGGAUAGCGGAAUUCCUAAUGUAGAGGUGAAAUUCGUAGAUAUUAGGAGGAACACCGGUGGCGAAGGCGGCUAUCUGGACGACAACUGACGCUGAGGCGCGAAAGCGUGGGGAUCAAACAGGAUUAGAUACCCUGGUAGUCCACGCCGUAAACGAUGGAUGCUAGCCGUUGGGGGGUUACCCCUCAGUGGCGCAGCUAACGCGUUAAGCAUCCCGCCUGGGGAGUACGGUCGCAAGAUUA
rnacentral:rRNA from 1 species